UGCGCAGAGAGAACAAGAGAUAUUCAAGUUGAAGUUACUGGGCAAAAAACGAACUGUAGCGGUGCCUGGCACGACCCCUGACGAUACGCCACUGAAUUGCCAUACUCACACGUUUGCUUUCUCCGUUGUCGUCGUCGAUCGU
ensembl:ncRNA F11C1.13 ncRNA